CGUAUUUUGUUCGCCUCUUACGGCAAACAGACGUGCCGUGGGAGCACUUCGAUUCCUACGCACAAGGAUACGGUAACAAUAAUUAUCAUUUUAAUUUUAAUCUUUCGUAUCGAUUUCCUAAACAGAUACAAUUUUUCGAUUCGCGUCCUUGUAUUAUUGUACUUGCGUGACUGUGCGAUAUCGGCUUCGUAUACAUAACGCGCAUU